rnacentral:misc_RNA from 1 species
UCCGGUUUGGCACCGGCAGUCUCCCUAGAGUGCCCAACUGAAUGCUGGCAACUAAAGACAAGGGUUGCGCUCGUUAUGGGACUUAACCCGACAUCUCACGACACGAGCUGACGACAGCCAUGCAGCACCUGAUACUAGUGUCCCGAAGGCCUACUGUAUCUCUACGGUAUUCACUAGCACUUCAAACCCAGGUAAGGUUUUUCGCGUUGCAUCGAAUUGAACCACAUGCUCCACCGCUUGUGCGGGCCCCCGUCAAUUUCUUUGAGUUUUAACCUUGCGGCCGUACUCCCCAGGCGGAUGACUUAAUGCGUUAGCUGCGCCACCGAAAGCCUAAGGCCCCCGACAGCUAGUCAUCAUCGUUUACGGCGUGGACUA